UACGUAGGGCGCAAGCGUUAUCCGGAAUUAUUGGACGUAAAGAGCUCGUAGGCGGUUUGUCGCGUCUGCCGUGAAAGUCCGGGGCUCAACUCCGGAUCUGCGGUGGGUACGGGCAGACUAGAGUGAUGUAGGGGAGACUGGAAUUCCUGGUGUAGCGGUGAAAUGCGCAGAUAUCAGGAGGAACACCGAUGGCGAAGGCGGUUCUCUGGGACGGUACUGACGCUGAGACGCGAAAGCGUGGGGAGCGAACAGG
rnacentral:rRNA from 1 species